AUUGAACGCUGGCGGCAGGCCUAAAACAUGCAAGUCGAGCGAGCGGCGGACGGGUGAGUAAUGUAUGGGAAACUGCCUGAUGGAGGGGGAUACCUACUGGAAACGGUAGCUAAUCCCGCAUACCAUCAGAUGUGCCCAGAUGGGAUUAGCUAGUAUGUGGGGUAACGGCUCACCUAGGCGACGAUCCCUAGCUGGUCUGAGAGGAUGACCAGCCACACUGGAACUGAGACACGGUCCAGACUCCUACGGGAGGCAGCAGUGGGGAAUAUUGCACAAUGGGCGCAAGCCUGAUGCAGCCAUGCCGCGUGUGUGAAGAAGGCCUUCGGGUUGGAAAGCACUUUCGGCGGGGAGGCGUUACCCGCAGAAGAAGCACCGGCUAACUCCGUGCCAGCAGCCGCGGUAAUUC
rnacentral:rRNA from 1 species